rnacentral:rRNA from 1 species
GUGCCAGCAGCCGCGGUAAUACGGAGGGGGCAAGCGUUGUCCGGACUUACUGGGCGUAAAGGGUCCGUAGGCGGCCUGCUGCGUCGCUGCUGAAAGCGCCCCGCUUAACGGGGCGAGGCGUGGCGAUACGAGCAGGCUUGAGGAAGGCAGAGGGUGGCGGAAUUCCGGGUGUAGUGGUGAAAUGCGUAGAGAUCCGGAGGAACGCCUGUGGCGCAAGCGGCCACCUGGGCCUUAUCUGACGCUGAGGGACGAAAGCGUGGGGAGCAAACCGGAUUAGAAACCCCCGUAGUCC